rnacentral:rRNA from 1 species
AUUGAACGCUGGCGGCAGGCCUAACACAUGCAAGUCGAACGGUAACAGGAAGAAGCUUGCUUCUUUGCUGACGAGUGGCGGACGGGUGAGUAAUGUCUGGGAAACUGCCUGAUGGAGGGGGAUAACUACUGGAAACGGUAGCUAAUACCGCAUAACGUCGCAAGACCAAAGAGGGGGACCUUCGGGCCUCUUGCCAUCGGAUGUGCCCAGAUGGGAUUAGAUAGUAGGUGGGGUAACGGCUCACCUAGGCGACGAUCCCUAGCUGGUCUGAGAGGAUGACCAGCCACACUGGAACUGAGACACGGUCCAGACUCCUACGGGAGGCAGCAGUGGGGAAUAUUGCACAAUGGGCGCAAGCCUGAUGCAGCCAUGCCGCGUGUAUGAAGAAGGCCUUCGGGUUGUAAAGUACUUUCAGCGGGGAGGAAGGGAGUAAAGUUAAUACCUUUGCUCAUUGACGUUACCCGCAGAAGAAGCACCGGCUAACUCCGUG